GUUCAGAUGUGAAAGACCCGGGGCGUCAACCUCCGGAAUAAGCAUUUGUAAACUAGGCAGACUAGAGUACUGUAGAGGGGGGUAGGAAGUUUCAGGUGUAGCGGUGAAAUAGCGUAGAGAUCUGAAGGAAUACCGGUGGCGAAGGCGGCCCCCUCGGACAGAUACUGACACUCAGAUGCGAAAGCGUGGGGAGCAAACAGGAUUAGAUACCCUGGUAG
rnacentral:rRNA from 1 species